rnacentral:rRNA from 1 species
AACGGCUGCUAAUACCGCAUAAGACCGCAUGGUAAAAACUCCGGUGGUAUGAGAUGGACCCGCGUCUGAUUAGGUAGUUGGUGGGGUAACGGCCUACCAAGCCGACGAUCAGUAGCCGACCUGAGAGGGUGACCGGCCACAUUGGGACUGAAACACGGCCCAAACUCCUACGGGAGGCAGCAGUGGGGAAUAUUGCACAAUGGGGAAAACCCUGAUGCAGCGACGCCGCGUGAGCGAUGAAUUAUUUCGGUAUGUAAAGCUCUAUCAGCAGGGAAGAAAAUGACGGGCCCUGACUAAAAAGCCCCGGCUAACUACCUGCCAGCAGCCGCGGAAAUACGUAGGGGGCAAGCGUUAUCCGGAUUUACUGGGUGUAAAGGGAG